CAUUUCAAUAGGCAACAGGAGAAGGGGACAGAGCAAGCAGGAAUCUCAUGCCAUUGUAAAGUUUUUAGAUUUGAUUUGGGAUUUCUCAGUCUCCCCUGUGAGCAUUGCAAAAUAUUUCUGCCCAUUCUGGGUAUGAUUAAUCUAUCCAAUCCACAUGAAAAUUACCAUAUUGAGUGCUCCAAAAAUAUUCUGUGUUGAAGAAUCAGUUUAUAAGUUAAUUCCAUUGUAUAGAAUUAAUAAUAAUUAAUUCUACUCUCAAAGGCAACCCUAUGAUGUAGGUAUUAGUAUUUUCAUUUUAACAGAUGAAGAAUUUAAAGUUUGGAGAGCGGAUAAGCAACUUGCCAAAAAUCACAAAGCUGGGCCCCCAGUCAAAUCUAGUUUGGCAACCGCCAGAACCCAUGCUUUCAACCAUUCGCUACUGUCUCUUAUGACUACCAUGAACUUGGAAAUGGCACUGAAGAUAGAAUUCCAAAGAUGUCAGCACCUUGACAGAAUAUUCUUCCCUGGAACUCAGCCACCAAUCAGUGAAGAAGCCCAAACAGCUACAUGGAGAGGCUCACAUGGAAAAGAACCCAGGCCCUCGGCCAACAGCUUCAACUUAGCUCCCAUAUGGCAGCCAGAAUCAACUGCCAGCCACAUGUCUGAGGCCAUCUGGACCCUCAAGCCAUCCUAGCACCCCAGGCAACACCACAUGAAGCAGAAGGAUUGUCCUAUCCAACUAAAAUGGGAGAAAAAAAAAAUAAAAGCAAGGUUUAUAGGCAGAGGUCACUACAGAGUCAACCAUCGUGGUUUCUGACAAGCCUUUUCCAGCUCUGCAGUCCAGAGAUCCUGAACACGAUCAUCUUCUCUAUGUAAUUUCCCAUUCCCUUAAAAUUCCCUUGGAUUCACUUUGCGGAGGGCAGAGAGGUGUGCUUGAUAUGGUGUUUUCUUCAUCUGAGGCCAAAAGAUGGAGCAUCAGGGUAGAAGGAGAAAUUCUUAGAGGAAGCAGGAAAGAGGAGUCCGAGUUGACCACUGGAUGUUUUUUUCUCCUAAUAAUGGUGCCCAAACUUCUUUUUCACCAAGGCUGAAUGGCCAUCCGCAAAAUCUCCAACCUAAGAGACGGUUUCAUCUACUUCCAGGCAAAACUGACAAUGUGAAAAUACCGGAGUCACUGAGCAAAUUCACUCCAGCCUGUGCUGACUGAGACUUACAUCUUACAAUUAAGCAGUGUUUUGUCCUGCCUUACAAAUCAGUAGUUUCCUUAUUGCUUAACAUAAAUACAUCUUAUCAAAAGGAAAAACAAAAUCUUCAUAAAAUAAUAAAACUAUAUAAUGCUACUUGAUACUGCUCUAUCACAAUUUGAGAAUAUCAAACAUGAAUUGAGUAAUCAUCAUUUAUGGGAAAGGAGAAGUGAUUUGAAAUAGUGAUAUUGCCUGGCCCUUCAAUUUAUAAAGUCACAAUGUAAGAAGAAAUGGCGAAAUACAGAAGGAAAUUGAGUUACAGACUAACCCAGGAGGCUGACAAGUAAAAUCCAGAGCGUUCUGGGUUCUGUGCUGCUUCCAUGUCCUCAAGGGAGCACAUCACUCUCACUGUAGUAGACACUACUAUACAGUACCCAUUCUCCCCUUCUUUCUUACUUUAGGGGAAGCAGUUGUGUUCAGGUUAAACACACACCACCACCACCAUUUUCUGGCUUUACUUGUAACUCCAGAUGUCCAUGUGACACAGUUGCGAUUUAAGAUGUAAGCGGUGUGUGAUAGGGUGGGUUCCUGGAAAACGUUGUUUAAAGGGAGUAAAUGUGGCCAGCCCGUGCCUCUUUCCCUUCAUCCUUUUCCUCCUUUCCUGAAGACACCGUGUUGGGAAAUAGAGGAGCCAUCUUACAAUCAUGAGGAAGAGUAGCUGAACUAAGGGUGUCAGGGCAAAAGAAAAAAGCCCUGUGUGUUUCAGCAGGUGUCAUUCUGAUCAUUUGAGCCCAACACAGUCUCUAAUUGACACACUCAUCUCUGUAAAUGAGGAACCUCCUGGAAACUGACCAGAGUCACACACGAUACGUAAAAGAGCCAUGAUUCAAGUCCACGUCUAUUUUCCAGGCGCCCAUUCUUUUUCUUCUUUGUCCCUACUGUUUGCCUCUGCUUCCUCAGUUGAGACCUAGAACUUAUGGUGUUUUCUAGUAGCUCACAACUCCUGGUAAAAGUUCCUGAAAAUGAUUCAUUUCACAAUACUAAAUGACAGACUUAACCUCCUGUUUGAUCUUGUCAUGCCAAAGUGAGUUCAAAGGUAUUCUUUGAACUAGUCCUCAUUGAAACAUUGAAGGAAAUUCAGAGCAAGCUUCCUAAAGAACAGGGCAUUAGUACUGGGCUGUGAAGGUUUCAGGGAUUUCGACCACUGAGGUCAUAGAAGGAAAGGCAUUUCAAGCAAAGAGGACACUUUGAGUGAAAGCAUAAAGAAGGUCAACCCCAGUUUGGCAGGAGCAAAGGAUACGUAAAGAGCUAUACUCACUUUUUUAAAGUUUUUAUGCACUAAAUAUUUCCAAAAAUGAUUCUGGAGGUGACAUACAGUAAACAAUGGAAAUUCAAUAAAACCGCAAAACCAAAAUAAAAAUGGGAAUUAUUUAUAGUGCUGAAUAAUAAACCUGGUAGAAGAUACUAGUACCAGACAACCUAAACUAAGGAAAUCUUCAGCAGCUGAGUGCAAAACUGAAUUUAACUUUCCGGCAGCAAAAGCAAAAAAACAAGAAUGUAAUGUGUUGUAUUGUAGCAUCAAUAAAUGGCAGAAACAGUUUUCCAAGAA